GGCCUGGUGGUGUAAUGGGAACACCCCUGCUUCAUUUGGAUGUAUUAUCUCGUUGGGUAGGAGCUCCUUGUUCGAUUCAAGGUCAGGCCA